CAGCAGUAGCCGCGGUAAUACGAAGGGGGCUAGCGUUGUUCGGAUUUACUGGGCGUAAAGCGCACGUAGGCGGACUUUUAAGUCAGGGGUGAAAUCCCGGGGCUCAACCCCGGAACUGCCUUUGAUACUGGAAGUCUUGAGUAUGGUAGAGGUGAGUGGAAUUCCGAGUGUAGAGGUGAAAUUCGUAGAUAUUCGGAAGAACACCAGUGGCGAAGGCGACUGACUGGACAAGUAUUGACGCUGAGGUGCGAAAGCGUGGGGAGCAAACAGGAUUAGAUACCCGCGUAGUCCCUGUCUCUUAUAC
rnacentral:rRNA from 1 species